rnacentral:rRNA from 1 species
UAUGGAAUAGUUUACAUUUAUAUUUAUAUAAGUUGAUUUUGUAAUUAAGAUAUUAAUUAGUUGAUGUAAUUUAGUAAAGAUAGAAUAUAGUUUGUGAUAUUUGCGUAGUACUGUAUGGGAAUAUUUAAUAUUAUUUUGUUUAGUAGAUUUUGUUUAUUGUACCUUGUGUAUCAGGGUUAAUUAAUUAAAAUAGUAUAAAUUUAAUUUUCUCGAAGAUAGGAGAGCUAAAUAAUUAUAUUAAUUAUUGUGGUAAAAAUAUUGGAAAUAAUUAUUUUGUAGUGAAAUAUUAGUCGUUCUUGUGGAUAUCUAGUUUCUUAAGAAAUAAAUUUAAUUUAGUUUCUGGUUUGUAAAGAUAUAUUUAUAUAAUUAUUUUUUAAAUUGGUAAUAAUGUUUUGGGGGAUAAGCUUUGAAAUUGAGUAUUAAUAAGUUUUGGAAUGAAUUUAAGUAAUAUGAAUUUAAAAUUAAUUAUUAUUGUAAAUAUGUUAAAAUUUUACUUAAUUAUUAUUCUAUUUAUAUAAUGCUUUUAAUAUUAUAUUAGGAUAUUUUAUUUAAUUUUUUUAGUAAUUGAUACAAUGAUUAAAUUAGUAUAAGUUUUUAUUUUUAAAUUGAUAAUAUUGGAAAAUUAAGUAAAGGAAUUAGGCAAAAUGAUAUUGAAUAUUCGCUUGUUUAACAAAAACAUCUUCUCUUGAAUGUUUAGGAGAUAUAACCUGCCCACUGAUUAAUUAAAGGGCCGCGGUAAUUUGACCGUGCAAAGGUAGCAUAAUCAUUAGUUUUUUAAUUGGAGGCUGGAAUGAAUGGUUGGACGAGAUAUAGACUGUCUUAAUUUAAAUAGUUGAAUUUAAUUAUUAGGUAAGAAAGCCUAAAUAAAUUUAUGGGACGAGAAGACCCUAUAGAAUUUAAUAGUUUGAUUUAUUUAUUUUGUGUGAAAAUUUUAUUUUAUAUUAAGUUAUUUUGUUGGGGUGAUAGGAAGAUAGAUUAAACUCUUUUAUUAUUAUUUAUAUUGAUUUAUGUAUUUAUGAUCCAUUAUUAGUGAUUAGUAGAUGAAAUUACCUUAGGGAUAACAGCGUAAUCUUUUUUGAGAGUUCAUAUCGACAAUAGGGAUUGCGACCUCGAUGUUGGAUUAAGAUAAAUAUUUGGUGUAGAAUUUAAAUUAUUAGGUCUGUUCGACCUUUAAAAUCUUACAUGAUCUGAGUUCAAACCGGCGUGAGCCAGGUUGGUUUCUAUCUAUAAAUUUUUAUAAUAUUUUAGUACGAAAGGACCAGGUAUUAAAAAUAAUUUUAUUGGGAUGAUUAUUAUUAAGUUGA